UCAAACUUGGUCAUUUAGAGGAAGUAAAAGUCGUAACAAGGUCUCCGUUGGUGAACCAGCGGAGGGAUCAUUACAGAGUUAUCAAAACUCCCAAACCCAUGUGAACAUACCUCGCGUUGCCUCGGCAGGUGGCGUCCCGCCUCGUAAGCACCUACCCUGUAGGCCCUUAUCCGGUAGACGACCCUGCCGACGGCCCACGAAACCCUGUUUUUUAUAGCAUUAGACUUCUGAAAAGAUAACUAAAUCAGUUAAAACUUUCAACAACGGAUCUCUUGGUUCUGGCAUCGAUGAAGAACGCAGC
rnacentral:misc_RNA from 1 species